rnacentral:rRNA from 1 species
AGCAGCCGCGGUAAUUCCAGCUCCAAUAGCGUAUAUUAAAGUUGUUGCAGUUAAAAAGCUCGUAGUUGAAUUUCGGGAUCAAUACGUUGGUCGUGCUUUCGGGUACGUACUGGCGUCAUUGGUUUCUCUCUUCUGACGAACCAUGAUGUCAUUAGUUUGGUGUUAUGGGGAGUUAGGACUGUUACUUUGAAAAAAAUUAGAGUGUUUAAAGCAGGCUCACGCUUGGAUACAUUAGCAUGGAAUAAUGAAAUAGGACGUUUGAUUCUAUUUUGUUGGUUUCUAGGAUUGACGUAAUGAUUAAUAGGGAUAGUUGGGGGCAUUAGUAUUCAAUUGUCAGAGGUGAAAUUCUUGGAUUUAUUGAAGACUAACUACUGCGAAAAGCAUUUGCCAAGGAUGUUUUCAUUAAUCAAGAACGAAAGUUAGGGGAUCGAAGACGAUCAGAUACCGUCGUAGUCUUAACCAUAAACUAUGCCGACUAGGGAUCGGAUGAUGUUAAUUUUUUAAUGACUCAUUCGGCGCC